rnacentral:ncRNA from 19 species
GGAAAUUUGAAGUAAAAAGGUGCCUGAUGCGGUUUUUUGCCGCAGUUCAGGAUAAUAGGGAACCGGGUGGGAAUCCCGGACGAUCCCGUCGCUGUAUACGCGGAGCAUUUUUUCAGCCGGAAGGCGGUCACUGUGGAAAUGGGAAGACGAGAAAAUGUGAGGAUGCGCAAGUCAGAAGACCUGCCUUUUUAUUUGUGUUUAUA